rnacentral:lncRNA from 1 species
CCGACUCAUGGCCCAAGAGCUUCUGACUGAGAAGGCUCGAUGGAAAGUGGAUUGACUGGCAAAGAGAGGGGUUGGAUUAUAAAUCAAGUCUGCAAGUUGGCAUUCUCCACUGGCUUUGAGAGGUGCAAAGCAAUAGCUGAGCCGCAUCUUCUUGCCACGCACGUAGGGCUUCUGUAGGCUAAUCUUCUCGAUGAGAAUUUGAAGGCCAUAAUAGCAGAUAGCACCGAGAGAUUUGCAAGAGCAUCCCAAUAUCUUGUUGAGCCAAGCAAAGUCAAUGCAGCCA